rnacentral:rRNA from 1 species
GAUGAACGCUGGCGGCGUGCCUAAUACAUGCAAGUCGAGCGAACAGACGAGGAGCUUGCUCCUUUGACGUUAGCGGCGGACGGGUGAGUAACACGUAGGUAACCUACCUAUAAGACUGGGAUAACUUCGGGAAACCGGAGCUAAUACCGGAUAAUAUUUCGAACCGCAUGGUUCGAUAGUGAAAGAUGGCUUUGCUAUCACUUAUAGAUGGACCUGCGCCGUAUUAGCUAGUUGGUAAGGUAACGGCUUACCAAGGCAACGAUACGUAGCCGACCUGAGAGGGUGACGAGCAAGAUGGGAAUGAGACAACGCACCAGACCCGUAGGGGGGGAAGAGGAGGGGAUUCUGCCGCAAGGGGGAAAGGCCAGACGGAGCACCGCGGCGGGGGUGAUAAGGGUUUUGGGAUCAAAAACCUCUUUUAUAAGGAAAGAAAAAACGUAAAAGAAACUGUCCGCGUCUGGAGGGAACCUAAUAAGAGGCCCAGGGCAAACUAGGCG